AGAGUUUGAUCUUGGCUCAGGACGAACGCUGGCGGCGUGCCUGAUACACGCAAGUAGAACGCUGAAGAGAGGAGCUUGCUCUUCUUUGGAUGAGUUGCGAACGGGUGAGUCACGCGUAGGUAACCUGCCUUGUAGCGGGGGAUACACUAUUGGAACACGAUAGCUAAUACCGCAUAACAAUGGAUGACACAUGUCAUUUAUUUGAAAGGGGCAAUUGCUCCAUCUACAAGAUGGACCUGCGUUGUAUUAGCUAGUAGGUGAGGUAAUGGCUCACCUAGGCGACGAUACAUAGCCGACCUGAGAGGGUGAUCGGCCACACUGGGACUGAGACACGGCCCAGACUCCUACGGGAGGCAGCAGUAGGGAAUCUUCGGCAAUGGGGGCAACCCUGACCGAGCAACGCCGCGUGAGUGAAGAAGGUUUUCGGAUCGUAAAGCUCUGUUGUAAGUCAAGAACGGGUGUGAGAGUGGAAAGUUCACACUGUGACGGUAGCCUACCAGAAAGGGACGGCUAACUACGUGCCAGCAGCCGCGGUGCAUACGUAGGUCCCGAGCGUUGUCCGGAUUUAUUGGGCGUAAAGCGAGCGCAGGCGGUUUGAUAAGUCUGAAGUUAAAGGCUGUGGCUCAACCAUAGUUCGCUUUGGAAACUGUCAAACUUGAGUGCAGAAGGGGAGAGUGGAAUUCCAUGUGUAGCGGUGAAAUGCGUAGAUAUAUGGAGGAACACCGGUGGCGGAAGCGGCUCUCUGGUCUGUAACUGACGCUGAGGCUCGAAAGCGUGGGGAGCGAACAGGAUUAGAUACCCUGGUAGUCCACGCCGUAAACGAUGAGUGCUAGGUGUUGGAUCCUUUCCGGGAUUCAGUGCCGAAGCU
rnacentral:rRNA from 1 species